GAUGAAGAACGUAGCGAAAUGCGAUAAGUAAUGUGAAUUGCAGAAUUCAGUGAAUCAUCGAAUCUUUGAACGCACAUUGCGCCCGCCAGUAUUCUGGCGGGCAUGCCUGUCCGAGCGUCAUUUCAACCAUCAAGCCCUGCUUGCGUUGGGGUCCUGCGGCUGCCCGCAGGCCCUGAAAACCAGUGGCGGGCUCGCUAGUCACACCGAGCGCAGUAAUACAUCUCGCUUUGGGCGUGCGGCGGGUUCUUGCCGUUAAACACCCCCUUUUUACCAAGGUUGACCUCGGAUCAGGUAGGAAUACCCGCUGAACUUAAGCAUAUCAAUAAGCGGAGGA
rnacentral:misc_RNA from 1 species